AUGAGAACCAUAAAUACCAUCCCUCAAUACCAUAUCCGGUAUGAGGGUAAAACGGGCCAUCUCCAUACCCUGUCGGGUAUGAGCGCCAAAAUAUCAAUCCUCGAUACGCCAUUCGUUAUGAGGCAAUGUUCACGGUAGGGUUUCCUAUACAUCCAGUUCGUCCACCAUCUUCCAGGAUAUCCAUUAAGGCUACCAUUCAAUCAUUCACUUAAUCAAACAAUUCUCCAUUUAUAUUUAAUUUUCAAUUUCACAAUUUAACUGUAAAUCACGCAGAACAAGCAAUACAUGCAUCAAGGAAACACUACUAAAUCAGCAUACCAACUUCAGUGUAAUAUUAUGCAUUUAAAACAAUAAAAUCAAUUAAAAAAGAUCAACAGUGA
rnacentral:lncRNA from 1 species